CUAGGUCAUGACCCAAGCUGAAGUUGGAUGCGUAGCCGACUGAGCCACCCAGGCACCCCAUGUUAAUCCUCUUUUAAAGAAAAGGUCAAGGUUUCCAUUCGUUCAGUUCAUUCAAGAAAUAGUUAUUGUGCACCCACUAUUUGCAAAGCAUUUGUCUAUAUUCUGCAGAUACAGCAAUAACCCAACACAGACAAAAUCUCUGUCCUUAUGAAUCUCAAGCUUAGUGCUUUGAUAAAUUUGAGGCUAUACUUCUUUGCAAGGCUACUGUUUUAGUACUAGGCAAUGAGAGGCAGUGGCUAGGAGGGUUCCCAUCAGGCCUAUCCCUGGAAUAUCAAUCCAUCAUCUCUAAAACAAAAGCCCAUUAACAGCCCCUCGGCUAGUUCUACAAAGACUUCAUUCAUAUGUAUUCAGGAAGUGAUUAUUCUGACUAUUAACUCAGCACCUUGCUGUAGGGCAUCUCAUUACAUGUUUACUCAAUUUCUUAACUGACAUUUUGCUGUAACUGAAACUUCAAAGAAAAAACAGGGAAAGAACCAUCACAUCAAUCAAUUCUGUUAACUUAUUAGCAGUUCAGCUAUGGAAGUGACAGGUCAAUAUAAUAAUAUUUAAGUAACACCACCUGCCAAGAUGUUGUUGCUCUAUUAUAUAUAUAAAAUCUGAAGUAAAUAUAUGUAUAUAUCCAUGUAUAUAUCUUAAAUGAAUAUAUAUCAUAUAUACAUCUUAAGUAGAUAUAUAUAAUCUGAAGUAAAUAUAUAUAGUUUUAAGUAAGAUAUAUAUAAUCUUAAGUAAAUGUGUACCCAUAUAUAAAAUAAUACAUACAUAUAAAAUAUGUACAUCUUAAGUGUAGAUUUAUAUACAUAUAUAUGUAUACACACACACACACACACACACACACACACACGUACUUAAACCUCUAGCAAAUCUCCUCUUACAAAUGAAGACCCUGAAACUCCAAACUGCAGAGUUUAAGUAACUGCCCAAGUCAUACAUACAGCUAUUGAAUAUUUAGACUUGAAUCCAAGUACACCGUACUCCAGCAUCUGUUCGUAACAGCAACACUGUCAUGCCUCUUUCUACCGACCCCUCGGAUUUUGGAUCUUCUGUGGAUUUCACCUUACAAUUUGUAUCGCUCUUCCCUUCCACUAACAGGUGCAGGGGAAGACGCAUCAAAGCCAGGCACCAGUAACAAAUCCGCUUUUUCACGUUGCCCUUUUAUUCCCUGGAAAAUAACAAUGGAGCAAAUACCAAGAUGCAUAACUGAAAAUCAGCAUAGUUCUAAUCCUCAGAUGAUAGUCUUUAUAUUCAAGCAGCACUCUGAAAUGAGUUCUUUAUUUGAAGUCAGAUAAUCUUGAUAUAAGAAUACUACACCAAAAGACAUAAUAUCUUAUACCACAAGCUAGGAAAAACACAUACAAUUACUGCUACAUAUUUAACAUAGCAUUCUGAAUGAGCAUCACUGUAAGAGCUAAACAGCCCAACAAUUAAAAUUCAAUUUUUUGCAGAGACAUUUAUUCUGAGUUCAGUUAAACACCUUAGCAUCUGUUAAGUCCUUAACAGAAAACAUGGGGGGAAAGUGACAAGUAUGGUUUUUGCCCCAUAUUUAACUUCUACAGCCCUGAAAUUUUCUUCUAAAAGUGCUUUAAAUUUUAAGUCAAUUCUUUUUAAGUCAAUUCUAUCUAGGCACUGAAUCUAAAGAGAGAAAUAGAACCUUUUACAUUUUUCAUGUUAACAAUGAACAUAGAAGUUUCUAGGUUCUGUAAAGACUCCAAUAGCAUUGAUAAUCCAUUUCAACAUUUCAGACAUUUCAAUGACUCAGUGUACUUAACUUUGAACAUUAUCAAUGUUUGACAUUUCAUGUUUCAACUCAGCAAAACACAGCUUAGAAAAGUAUGACCUGUCCUUUGUUGUUUAAGAAACACUUCUAGUUGUUAAUUCUAUCCUUUUGAAAAAAUAAUUUUUCUGUACUGUUUUGAAAUAGACUCCAUUAACGUAAUGGACCUGGUUCUGUUUAAGUGCGAGAGUGAAGAAUUUUGGUAGACUGUUCUGGUUCUUUUCCCACUUCCCAAAUACAUUUAAAAAUCAAUAUACUUGGAAAGGAAGUUAUGCUCCAGACUUGGAGUGAUAAAUCAUUGUAUCAUAAUAUCUGAAAGCAUUUUAAUAAAAUCAAUUUUUGUUUAUAUUAAAA